UACGGAGGAUGCAAGCGUUAUCCGGAUUCACUGGGUUUAAAGGGUGAGUAGGCGGACUGAUAAGUCAGUGGUGAAAGACUGUAGCUUAACUAUAGAAAUGCCAUUGAUACUAUCAGCCUUGAGUACAGUUGAGGCAGGCGGAAUGUGCAGUGUAGCGGUGAAAUGCUUAGAUAUUGCACAGAACACCAAUUGCGAAGGCAGCUUGCCAAGCUGUUACUGACGCUGAGUCACGAAAGCGUGGGGAUCAAACAGG
rnacentral:rRNA from 1 species